rnacentral:tRNA from 1 species
AAGAAAGAUUAUAGUGGUUAUAGGGCUGGCUUGAAACUAGCUUUAGGGGGUUCAAUUCCUUCCUUUCUUG